CAUCACUCAGAGCCGUGACCCCGUGACUCCUCCUCGCCAGUGGCCUCCUCUUCCUCUCCCAUCGUGACUCCUCGAUCUCUCCCCAAAGCCGUGAGCCCGUGACUCCUCCUCGAUCUCUCCCCUACGCACGAUCACCAGGGCGACUCCUCGAUCUCUCCCUCACGCUGCCCCAUCCUUGAUGAUAGAGGAGCAAGGGCAAGGGAGCCGUUGAGGCCGCACAGACCGGCGCUGGGCAAAGGCGAGGCCGCGGCAAGGCGUCGUAGGGCACUUUGCCUCCCCAAUGAUGCACCAUGCUGGACGUCGCCUUGGCCACGAGCGGACGCCUCGACUCUGCCCCGUCCCACAGCUCCCUUUCGCAUGUACGUUCCACGGCCAUGGCUAGGCGGGCGAACAGGCCGCCAGGUAGUUGGGCGGCCGGCGGAGCAGGCGGGUCCCCCAUUGCAGCAUAGGCGUAUAGCAUGAGACCCACACGGGGGACGACCUCCAACACAAGCCAAUGGCAAGUUGGCAGCAGGCAAGUUUGUAGUUUUGUGUCUUUCCCCUCCUUUCUCUUGUCCUGGAUCUAAGAUUUGACCCACGGUUUGAGUCACUGCAGGCAAGUCUGUAGUUAUGUCUUUUCCCUCCUUUCUUGUCCUGGAUCUGAGUUCUAAUUUGGAUCUCUUCCCCUUCUGUUGCUUGAUUUGGGGGAGCAUGAAGCUGACAGCAAAGUGGAGUUCACAUUGAUUUGGGGGAGCAUGAAGCUGACAGUUUGGACUUUGGGAGAAUAGAUAAUUUUUGAAUGACUGAAUGAAAAUUGGAGAUUUGGGUUGGCUGUUGGAAUGCUUAACCUACAUGGAAAUUUGCAAAACAGCCGAAGAACAAAACAUCAAUGGUGCAAGGAGGGAGCACUGCUUCCUAACUAGAUGAUAGAAGAGACUAAGAGUGUUUUGGCAGUCUGUCAAGGGCGUAGUGAUCUAGGGUAGGCGGCCCUCGACUACGGAGCUCGUAGUCUCCUGGCGUGUCUUCCAGUCCCGGAGGUUAUACCCCUCACAAUGGCCGGGCUUGAGAACGAGAGAGAGAGAGAUGGAGGUAAUUGAUCUUGCUUAAUUCUCCAAGUUCCCAUUACAAGUAUAAAUAGCCUGAGGCAGCAACUUAAUUGGAAAUAAACCUCCUAAACUCAAGGGAAAGACUUGUUGCUAAACUUAGGAAAUUGACUCGAUCUCUAACUAUCAGCCACAAUUCUGCUGCAGCUCCUUUGCAUGCGCGGCCAGCUCCUUCGCAUGCGCGGCUUGGACCAGGCUUGCCGCGCGCUCAGUCGCCCGGCGCACAUCAGCCACAAUUCUGCUGCAGCUCCUUUGCAUGCGCGGCCAGCUCCUUCGCAUGCGCUGCUUGGACCAGGCUUGCCGCGCGCUCAGUCGCCCAGCGCACAUCGCGGGCACGCCUCCUCCUUGUGUACCCGAUGCCCCACAUGACACAGUCACAAUAAAAGCACAUAAGGAUUGGCGAAUUAGUUUGGUUAUUACUUGUUUCUUUGAGGUGAGCAGCAGCCAUGGAACAGACUAAGAAUACUUUGGCAGUCACAAUGAAUAAUAUAUAUCAUCUUUUAGCUAUCACCGUAACAUUAGCACGGGCAAUAUCCUAUCACACAUAAUGCAUCUUGAAUAAAGAGUUCAGAUAUCAUGGAUAGUAGUGGUUUUCUCAAGGUCAUUAUGUGUGUGGAAAUGAAGAUUGCCUUGUAUAAAUAGAGCAUAGCUGAAAUUCUUACUGAUAUGAUAUUGGCAGGCGCAUUAUGUGAUGCAUUGUGCUACUGACUUUAUCGACAACAAAUGGUCACUUGCUAUUGACAGGUAGGACUAACUCACUAUUCGUGCUUGUGAUGCAUUGCCAGUAUUGGAGGCUUUGGAGACAAAAUGUUUAGAUAUAUGUUGAUGUUUUUAUCAUUAAUACUUGUAGUUUUUUUGGGACAAACUCACAAAAGUGCUGCCUUAGAUAAGGAUAAUUCAGCUUUUGUUCUACUAUAUAUUCUGUUGUUGUUUCCACGGCCACCUUUAGCUGCAAAGCAACGCUGCAGGUAUCAAGUGCUCAUGUGCAGGUGUUAAUGUUCUGACUAACAGGGAAGAAGUAAAAUACAAUUUCCCUUUAUCGAGAAGAGUAUUUGGAGGUUUAUGUAUGUAUGUUUAAUAAACAUUCCACUUGUUGACACUUCCCUGAAAUAGCCUUUUCUUUUUUUUCUUUUCUUUUUCUUUUCUUUUCUUUAGCUUUCAUAUGUACUGCUCAGGCCGAUAUGCCCUUUCGAGUGAUGAUUUUUUAUUUUGCUUGUUUAUGUUAGAUACCAGAUAACUUGGAUUGUUGUGACCAAGUGGCAUUAAUCUAUUGUCAAACAAUUCUGACUCCCAAGCAUGCUUUCUCAAA